ACAACAAAAGAUAAUCUCAAAGCUUGUAAGGUUCCAAGGAGGCUGGUGGCCAAAGUAGAUGCUGCAGUGGAGGAGGCUCUGGAGAUGCAAGAUAUUUUCAUCUAAGUGAGUAGAAGAAAGAGAUAAUUGUGAGGAGUACUCUGGAGAGAAGGGUGCAGUUUCAGACACUGCGAUGUGUGAUGAUCUCAAUGGCAAAGAGGCGUUUAAAUGAGGAAGCAGCUGCUAAACCUCCAAAGAGGAGGUGCAUUGGUGAUGCACCGCCACCUGGCCUAAGACGAUCGGAGAGGAUUAAGCAGCUAAAUGUGCUCCAACGAUGUUUAUAGAAUUUGUUUCCAUGUGCAGUGGCUGGGGGAUGGGAGGCAUUCCUGGGUUAGCCUCUCUUAUUUGGUGCCCUUUGAGAGGGCACCAACCCCCCAACAGACACCCUACACUAUGUUGAAGAAUUACAUCAUAACUGUUGCUCCAACGAUGUCGUUAGGGUGCCACUCUAUGUGCGGUGGUUGUGGGAUGGGAGGCACACGUGGGUUGGCCUCUCUUAUUUGGUGCCCUUUGAGAGGGCACCAACCCCCCAACAGACACCCUUCACGAUGUUAAAGAACUAUGUCAUAACUGAAACGUGACAGCCUGGCAACCCGGGGAAGAAGAGAGGGGGCCUUCAAUACUGCUGAUGAGCUUCAACAAGCUUCAACAAUGUAUGCGAUUUCCAGUCUUUGGCUUAGAAAAUUUUAAAAUUUCAUCGAGCCCGGCGCAGUAGAGAACAACGAUUUAUUUUGCUCGCAUGCCCCCUGCGUUUACAAGGACCAUAAACAAAUUUUGCACAAAUGAUGUUGAGCUAAUUCCCCAAGCUGGCUGAGCUAGUUCCUACGAAGACCCCUACUCAAAUAAGAGAACAGGCAAGAAGGUUCAAUAAUUUCCCCUUAUUCGACAUCUUCCAGUUGGAUAUCAGCGAUGUUGGGGGUGAAGCGACUGACAGGACCUGUGAUAUGGAAUCUGGGGAUGAUUUAGGGGAUGGCAACAAGAUGAUAUCCACACAGGAUAGUGUUGACACCCCUGCAAUUGGACUAGUUUGCCCGCAAUUGGACGGUGGCCCCGUUUGCCCGCUGGAUUCUGUGGUUGAAUGUGAGGUAUGUGGAAACAAAAUGGAAGGCCAGUCAGAGUAAGUACUAUCUCUUUCUCUAAGUUUAAGGCAAAAGUCUAACGAGACUCGGAAUUAUAACAAAUAGGUGACCCUAGGAUUUCUAGUGGAAAGCACUAGUGUGGGCAAAAAUUUACCCAGAAUAAUUUUCAUUUCAGGCCGCUUCUCGGCCUGUGGCCCCGUGCAAACUCGUAUCUUGGCAACAUUGAUGCAAGA